rnacentral:rRNA from 1 species
GUCCAUGGUUAUACUACCCUGAGUACUCCUGAUCUCAUUUGAUCUUGGAAGCUAAGCAGGAUUUGGCCUCGUUAGUGCUUGGAUGGGAGAGUUAGAGCUAGCUGAGGCAGGAGACGGACC